CUCUGGGUGGAAUCCCAUUGCCCCACGGAUUCUCACGUGGCCUCUCCCAGCACUGCGUCACAGGUCACUGGGCUGUUUCCUUCCUGAACCUGUUCUCGAUCAUAAUAAAUCAGAGUCGUCCAGGUUCAUCAGCCUUGCUGGACCCCCGUGAAGGAUUUCACCAAACACCGCAGUGUCCUGGACUCAACAGAACCCCUGGCUUCCGAUUUCUUUUUUGUUUCUCUCUCUCCUUCCUGACUCCAGUGUACCAAGAUGUUCCAGUCUUGAUGUCAUCACUUGACAGCAGACUCAGCAAGAAGGUGCCGUCUGGGAACCCGGAAGCCGUCCCUCACUGUAGCUGCCACCAACUGGACCUGCCAGGGCCUUGAUCCUGAACUUCCUAGCUGCCAGGACUGUUGGAGCUGGUGUCGGAAACGUGGCUCUCCAGAGAGCAAGUUCACGUGUGUCCUCACAGAGCGAUACUGGCCCGACCAGGCUCCAGCCCCUGUGCCUUGCUCAGCUGCACAGGUAGGGACCAGCUGAGUCUCUUGUUCCGCUCUGGACUUGACACAUUUAUUCCUGCGGCAAACAGAGUAAGCCUGUCGGUUGUGCAAGCGCAGUUUCCGGAGCUUUGGUUUGGAGCCUCAGAAAUGCGGGAGUGCAGAUCUCCGCGUCCGGCUCGGGAAUGCUCUCAGAGGACCUGUGAGAUCCGAGGACUUUCUUCACAUCCUCAAACCCAAACAGCACAUUGCAAAACACUGAAUACAGAAGCAGAUGCAAAAGUCCACCUGGCUUUUCGCAAGCCCCGCAUUCAGACUUGCAAAGCGAAAACAAUCUCAUCCUUCUCACUUGUUUUCGGUUUUAGAACACAGGGAGAUUCCUCUUGCCCAGAUACCAUUGCUGGUCACGGGCAGUGGGUUUACCACUGCUAUUUUAGGGGAAACAAUAAAGACCAAAGAUUUAUUUAUUAUUGUUUAAGAUUUAUUGAUUUAUUUGAAAGUCAGGGUGACAGAGAUGAGAAAGAGAGAGAGAGAGAGAGAGAGAGAGAGAGAGCGCGCGCGCGAGAGCUUCCAUCUAUUGGUUCUUUUCUCAAAUGGCCGUAAUAACCAUGUCUGGGCCAAGUGAAAGCCAGGGGCCAAGGACUCCAUCCGAGUCUCCAACGUGGGUGGCAGGGGCCCAAGCACUUGGGCCAUCUUCUGUUGUCUUAGAAUCAGCGGGGAGCUGGAUCAUAAGUAGAACAUCUGAGACUGGAACUGGCGCCCACAUGGGAUGCUGGCAUUGUAGACAGCAUAUUAACUGGCUGCUCCAUGACACUGGCCCCGGGAUUAAAAUGAUCUUAUUUUUCAAGUCUGAUACAGCAAAUAUCAAAUCGUGUCAGGAGCAGUCCACAAAUAUGAGAGCAUGUUAGGGGCUUCCAUAGCUUCUAAGGGUAACCAGUUCCCAGCCCCUAAGGUUGGAGAACUGCUCCUGUAGCGGCAGCGCCCUGGGCUUGGAGAGCAACUGGCUUUCCCUCCAGCGCCAGCCCUGUUCCUUGGCAGCUGGUUGAGCACCUCCGGAAAGUUUCUAGAUUUUUCUGAGCCUCAGUGUUUCUCAUCUGUACAAUGGGAGCCGUGUGGGGCGUGAGCAUUUCAGCUGCUGCCUAGACCCAGGUUCUGUUGGAGGGGACCCCGGGGUGGCUUCAAGGGGUUUGUGUUCUGGGGCUGGUCACAGGGGUGGGGCUCUGAGCAUGUCUCCUGCCGCCCCCGCAAGGUAAAUAUGUGCGGAUUGGGAAAGUUGGUCAAAGGAAUGGAAUUCAGUUUGUGAAAUAGCUUCAAAGGGGAAUUGGAGGCAAUGAUUCUGCUUUGAUUAUUUUGAUCGUAACCACUUUAAAGUUUUGUAAAGCUCUGUUUACUCUCUCCUCUCUCUCUCUUAGAGGGGCCUUCUCAGGGUGCAAAUGAGCUGGCCCUUGCUGGAGUCUACUCAGGUAGAUGCCAGCCGUGCCGGGGUGUGCUGCCCUGGGCCUGGCUUUGGAGAAGUACACAGGUGCAGGUGAGCUCCGCCUGCUAUGGGGUGCAAGGCUGACCGGGGUGGCUGUGGAGGGGCUUGGUCACCAGGUUCGCCAUCCCAGGCCUGGAGAAGGUGCUUCCCUCAGCCUGUCACGAGGCCUGCGAUUUCUUCCAUGGCUGAGGUUCUUGUUUACCGGGAAACUUCUAGAAGAUAAAAGAGCCGCUUGCUAGGACAGGCGUUGCAGAUCAGAGCAGCAGGGUGAAGCCGCCGCCUACCACACGGGCGUCCCAUAUCGAAGCGUCCCAGCUGCUCCACUUCUGAUCCAGGUCGCUGUGAAUUCGCCUGAGGUGGCAACGGAGGAUGGUCCCUGUCACGCACAUGGGAGACCAGGGUGGAGUUCUUGGCUUCUAGCUUUGGCUUGGCGCAGACCUGGCUGUUGAGGCCACUUGGGAAGAGAACCAGCAGAUGGACAGUCGGUCUGUCUGUCUGUCUCCCUCUCUCCCUCUGCCUUUCAAAUGUAGAUAAAUAAAUUAGCAAAUAUUUACAAACAUGCAGUAACGUGUUACCAACCAUCCACAUUCAUGGUGAAGUGCUCCUCUUGGUAACAGAAAGCAGGGGAGAGAACAGACCAGUUUUGAAUGUUGCGGUUCUCACUGAGCGUCAAUUUCUUUGCUCCCUCCCCUUGGGAGCUGCUGGGAGUCACCCCUUGUGCUAGGACCAACCCUGGAGCUGAUGAGCUGAUGAGGGCUUUAGGUCUGAGCAUCAGCUCUCUCUGUCCCUCAGCCUCUGAAACCAGAUCUUUGCUUUAUUUGUCCCAAUUCUGGGUCCAAGUCUUUUAUGACCCCAGAUAACUCAGCCCUGCUUGGCUAAAUACCGAGAAAAACCAAACUGGAAAUUUGUGUUGCAAUAUUUAGGAGCUUGGCUGGACCAUGAGGUCCUUGUACUGAUCUUGAAGACACUGUUGUCCUUCUAAUGAAUUUUUGGUUGUUUAGCUCAGAGCUGUCACUGAGGGCUUAGGCAGAAUAAGGUCACGCCAAUGCCCCACGUCCACAUCCUAACCACUGGGACCUGUGGAUACGCUACCUCUCGUGGCAAAAAAGAGGACUCUGAUGGUGGAAUCAAGUUAAUUAUUUUACGAUGAGAGUCCCCAGGAUUAUCUGGGUGGCCCCAGUGUAAUCGCUCCAGUUCUUAUGAGACAGAGGCAGAGACAGAGCCCUAGUGGCGGACACAGAUGUUGGACUGAUGUGAUUGCUGGCAAUGAAGACGGAGGAAGGGGCCGUGGGCCAAGAAAUGCAGGUGGCUUCUAGAAGCUGGAAAAGACGAGGAAACCGACUGUCCCCUGGAGCCUCUAGGAAUGAAAUUCUGCUGAGCCCGCGACUUCAGUGCAGCGAGAUCCCUGUUGGGUUUCUGACCUCCAGAAUUCUGCUACUGCAUCCAUGUACGUCUGAGUCACUGGGUUUGCAGGAACUCACCAUGGCGGCCGUAGCAAAUGCAGACAGCUGGAAGAGGAGCUAUCAGAAGCAGACCAGUGGUGGGUGAAUAACUCGAAGGGCACUGGGAGGGCUCCCGGUGUAGAUACAGCAGGGACUAUCCCCCCUGGAGCCUGCAGGCGGCAGGGGCCCAGUGCCUCUGCUGAGUAGGGUGGCGUGGGGUGGUCAGUGCUAGGUGAAAGCUGCGGAUCAAGGGCAGAGAAGGAAGACGCUGUUUCUGCUCCAUGGGCUCACAGGAGGACUCAGCUCCCGGGAGCAUCGGAGUCAGUGCUGGAGGGAAGACACAAGGUUCCCACAGACGAGAUGGGCAGAGGGAAUUGUGCAAAGAGAGGCAGAGAGGUGGCAAAGUUCAACCCCCAUCCAGAACCUGGGAGUGAGCUAGGACUGGAGCCAGGGAGGGGUCAGGAUGCUCAUGGUUAUGAGCCACAGCAAACCUCAACCCACUUCGUGCUGCGAGGGAUCCCCAAGGUGGGUGCUUCCGGGCUGGCCAGAGCACGGGCUCAACAGUCUUGCCGGGGACUCUGGUUCUGCUGCCCUGACCUCACAGGCUGCGCCUUGGCGGUGUCCCCAGGAGGGCUGCUGAUCAGAUGUGACAGUGUCUAGCAGAGGGUGAGGCACUGGGACUUCGCAGGAACCACUAGUUGUCAGCAGAGAUCUCUUUUCUAGAAGUUUCUACUCAUGUCAUCUCCGCAUGUCGCCAGGGCCUGAACUGGGUCCGUCGCUAUUGGCAAGGGGAGUGUUCCCCAGAGAAGCAGUGUAUGGAAGACUAAGGUGUCAAGUGCCGUUGGGGUCUGUCUGGGUGUGGGGGAGAUGCAGAGCUGGUGGAGGUGAGUUGGGGCGGGAGGACUUGCACAUCAAAGUUAAUGUCCUUGGACUUGGGGCGCCCUGGGGAGGGACUUGAGAGCAAGAGUGUGAGCUGGUCAGAGCCGAGCUCUUUGCAGAGGUAAGAACCCCAGCCCAGUGUGGAGUGGAGAGGGGAGUUCCUGGAGGCUGGGACACCACAUGGGUGGUAGGUGUGCUACCUGAGCAAGAGGGCAGUGGGGACGGGAGGGUGAGGACGGAAGUGAG